GGAAGAGACGCAUUUCCAUCAUUGUCCUCAACAUGGAUCUCAAGGUAACGGAGGUGCUUCAGUUCGGGAAGAUCUGCUAGGAGAGGUUCGGAGACCAUCAGCACGGGCAGGCACUUCAUCCUUGUAAGAAGUUUUUGAAGGGUCUUGGUCUGAAUCAAGUCCAACUUCUUUGAGCCAGAGGAUAUCUGACCGACUACCACAAGACUGCGCAGAUUAGUAAUUUGACGCAGUCUUCUAGAGGCCCUUGCCAGAUCAUUGAUAUCAAGGUAAACAUGGCCGGCCCUCUCUGGGAUAUCUAUUGGUCCAUCAUCAAAUUCGCUUCUUUUUUCGAUCCGGAAGUACUCACCAGAAGAUAAGAAUUCAGCAAGUUCAUCCAAUGGUUCAGCUCCAGGGCCAUCAAGAUAUCCAAGAGCCAUCCAUACACGGAUAACUUCUUCUUUUUGAAAGGCAUACCCUUUUGGGAAGAGAGAACAAGAAACAAAACAUUCCUUGAGGUCUCUUGGCAGCUGUUCAUGGCUUAAUCUCAGUGUGGCCAUGAUGCCACACUUCUCUGCUCCCAUUUGACACAUUUUCCUUUUCGAAAUACCCCUCCAGUGGGUCUCCUUGAAGUCUGACCGUAACGCCUGACAAAAUGUCUCCGCUGCCUGUGGCAAGCCAUUUAGCCUUUUGGCUAUGUUUUUGCCUAUGGAUAAGAGUUCUGGAUAAUCUUCCGGGUCUUUGUUAUGAAAUGCAAGUUCUUUGAACAGUGGCCAAUAAUGUUUGAACUCUAAGCCGUGAACAUGAAUUAGCCCUUCUGUACUCAUUCCUUCUCCUAUGCUCGGGUCUCGAGUAGUGACUAUGACUUUACUUCCUUCACGUGCUUGGCUAAAUGGCAUAUUGAACGCAUCCAGUAUGUUUCUUGACAAAUCCCAAUCCCAUAUGUCAUCCAGGACUAUGAGAAAUCUCUUAUCUUUCAAAACAUCUGCCAGCAUACUCUUGAUAGUGCCCUUGUCGGGCGCAGGAUGGCGAUAAAGCAGUAAUUUUUUAGAAGCAGCAUUGGUUGCAUCAAUCAACACCCUUGUGAUGCUGGCUCUAUGUGAUACACAGAUCCAGGCCUUCACCCCAAAGCAGUCUGUUCUGUUAUCAUUGUAAGCUUCCCGGACGAGAGCUGUCUUCCCAACACCACCCAUUCCGACAACAGAAAUAUGUGAGAUUUUCUCCUUACAUUGUUCAAGCUCAAGUAAUAAGGUCAUGAGAUCAUUUGCUUCUUUCUGCCGACCAACCAGCUUUGGUUGUGUGUCGGAUGCAGUGGUCUCCCGCCAGUCAGGAGCUUGAUCAGGCACCAAUCCUUGUGUAGCAUCUUGCCCACGCAAGAACCACAAGCUUCUCAUCUCCGCAGAAACGUUGUCAAGCUUUUUAAUGACUUUCGUCAAAUUAUCAGCGUCAUUUUUGUCUUGGGAAAUGGAAUCAGAAGCAUCUUUUCUAGGAGAAAAUAUAUGCUUGUGUUCAGUCGUUACCUGGUGCUUCAACAUUGCAUACUUGAUGGAAUCAAGAACAUCUUCUGCUGUGAAAACCGCAUCUCUGAGUCUCUGGAUCCACGAUUGCAAUUUGGAAUCAUCAACUUCCCUUUCCCUGGCCCGGCUGAUUGCUUCUGAAAUCUGCUCAAGGCGCCACUUGAGCUUUUCGGUGUUGGUCACGAAAUUCUUCUGGUCCUUGUACCGGUCCUUUGCAUACUGUAUCACAGGGUCGGCGAGCUUGGAAAGGCAGACAGACACGAACCAUCCAGCCACAGCGAGCUUGACCAUCACCAUGGCAGAUCAAAAUUUCUGGAUCUCAGGGGGUCCAGGAAGAGGAUGAUUAAACCUUCCAGGACUCCACAGCUCAGUUGGCAGCUUAUGUUGAUUGAUCAAUGGUGUAUGCUUAACUGGCUAUGUGUUUAUCUCAAUUCUUUAAUGCGGCUCGAUGCCUCGACUGUCUGUUCCUAUUCUAUUAUCAUUAUACUUUGAACAUAAGAUCUGAUCCAGGGCCGGUGGGUCUGAGCUGAUGAUCAGCUGGUCAAUCAAGUUAGUUAGGAGGGCAAAAGAAUAACACAGGAAUUCAGUGCCAUCUUAUCUGAACCUUCUUCCCCCAUGUGUAGAAGAUACAAUGUCCGACGGACUCACAUGCAUCUGUGCUGCCGUUCAUAUUGGGUUAACCAUGAUCCUUGAUGUGCCUGCUGCAGUGUGCUGGUAGUCAACUGGGUGGUUCAGAUAUCCUAAACUAUAGGAUACAUUAAUAAGCAGUGAGCCUUUCACAUGCUGUUGGUUUGGCUUGAGUUUGAGGAUGAACUGGUAUUUCAUAUAUGUAUAUAUAGAUCUUUUCUUUUUUUGAGAAUCUUCAUAUAUAGAUCUGGUGAAGUCAGUUGCUUGUAGCUGUCCUAUGUGGGCUGAAAGGUUAAUGGCCCUUCCAGUUAGUUCAACAGUCUCUGUUCAGAAGCAGCAACUAUUGUCAUGAGAAAUUAAGCGAAGGAUCAGCGCUUGUUUUGUGUCAUCACAAAAUCAAUGUGGUUUGGUGGCGCAUGAGGCAUAUAUUUUUGUUGGGGACAAGUACAGAUUAUCGGUUCAUGGAGCAUUUUACACCGUUCUGAAUGACGAUGAGGUUGUUAGAGCGGCGACUUUAGAGUUCAGAUCAUCUUACCUCUAGUAUUUUAUUUUACAAAAUUAAUGUAUGCUAUGUUAGUGGCAGGCUGAGUCUGAAUCAUUGGCUUGUACUAACAGUUACUCCCUCCGUCUCACAAUAUAACAAUAUAAGGUCAUUUUUCAAGCUAUUUGAUAGCUUCAAAAAUGAUCUUAUAUUGUGGGACGGAGGGAGAAAUAGAUUUGUGACAAAGACAAUUAUGCCAAAGAACAUGGUGACAAGGCGCCAUGCUGGAUUAUUAUGUGAUCUUUUUUAGGGGAAGAAAGGAUUAUUAUGUGAUUUUUUUAGGGGAAGAAAGGAUUAUUAUGUGAUGAUGUGGCAGCACCUUGGUUUUUCUUUUUCUUUCUUUUGAGCAAAAUGUGGCGGCACCUUGGUGUCUGACGCGACGGUACUUUUGGGCCAGGAAUAUUUAUUUACGGUAUAGUUAUGCAACCCAUUAGAGGCCCAUCCUUAAUAAAAUGGGCCACGCCAUUUAGGUCCCAAGUCGCCGGUUUCCUUCUUCUCAAAAAUAGACUCCACCACCCAAAUCAGUACCUGACCCUCCUCACCGAUACUGCAGAUUAAUCUGGGUUUGCCGCCGGGCGCCACAACUUUGUGUUGGCGCUCCAAAUUGGUUCCUUGGACUGAAACGAGAUCGAGCCCCGCCACACCUGCACCUGCACCGUCUACCACAUUGACUGCGGCGUCGCCGAUCGAGACGCGGCUGUUCGUCCUUGUCGUUCCAGACAGCACAGCGAGGAGUUGGUCGUCUCUAUAGGCCGGCUCUGGAGUUAGUUAAGCAGACUCUCGACGCCACAAUUUCUACAACUUAACAAAUUUUGAUGGAGAAGGAAAUCCUGGAUCCAAGUUUUCAUACAGUCCAAACAUUCAUGUAUGGUCAUGCCGAGGUCCGGGAUAUCCCCUCGGAAUAUCGUUGGCAAGAAGACAAGGAGGAGAUGAAGGCGGAUGAAUACCAUGGAUUAAGUUAGAAUAGAGUGUUGGCCAAAUUCUUAUCAGCCAAGGAACAAAAUUACAUGGCAUCUACUUCGGCUACGAUUGUUCGGGAGACAAUGGAUUUGGUGAAGCCACUGUGCACCAAGGAUGAUGUUUUUCGCGUUCGUUUGGAGAUGCACCGUGCAAAGGAGUCUUACACUAAAGAAGAGACCCUCUUCAAGAGCGAGGCCAGGCAGGACGAGCUUCUUAAUGACCCCAAUCUCACCAAAUCAUACUGCUACAAUGCCAUGAGCAAUGAUGGCCUCUCUGCGACUUCCUAUGCACACUUCUUCCACAAGGAUCCCUCUCCACGCAUCGACUACUUUAAACCUACCACCUUAGAAGGUGAUAUUGAGUACAUAAUUUUUUUGGACAAACUGGUGGAGUUAACAAGAUAUAGAGAAACCAGAGAUAUGGUGUUCGCUAGGGCUAUUGCCCUUGCAAGGAGUGGUUUCAGAAAAAUGCUCCUUUUCCAAAUUAAGAUAGCCGUCGAUCAGUGUUUAGAACUGAUGCUCCGUGGAGAGAAGAUGUGGCAGAGAAAACAGCUGUAUUAUCACAUAGUGCAGGAAACUGUUUUGAAAAACAAGAAGCGUGAAGAUGUUAUCCAGGAGGGACAAGUUCAGCUUUUCUAUGAUCUUAUCAAGUUCGCCCGCCUAGAUGUGGAUGACUAUAAAGAUAUGGUAGAAGAAACGCUUGACCAUCUCGUUGAGGUAUCUCAUGACAAGUUGCCUUCGAAGGAAAGCGUUAAGAAUGGUGCUUACAAAAAGAUGAUCUGUGAGGAGCUCAAUAAGCUGUUCCCAAGACGUACUCGGCUUUAUAUGCAUUUUCUCAAGAUGAAGAUAGAGGCCGCCUUGUAUCUGGCUCGGACGACGUCCCUUGAGUGCUAGUCCGGUGUGUGUGGUCUUCGCUGGUUUCCCUUAAUUAACCGAUGCAUGUAUGGUUUUUGGGUCCAGUUUCCCUUAUUAACCGGACCAACUCUCUUCUUCUAUAUGCAAAUGCGGGAGCUCCCCGCCCUCUGAUGAGGUUUCGUCAAAAAAGAUAGAGGCCGCCGAAAAACAUGGCGUGAUAA